CACGGUGAAUACGUUCCCGGGCCUUGUACACACCGCCCGUCACACCAUGGGAGUGGGCUGCACCAGAAGUAGAUAGCUUAACCUUCGGGAGGGCGUUUACCACGGUGUGGUUCAUGACUGGGGUGAAGUCGUAACAAGGUAGCCCUAGGGGAACCUGGGGCUGGAUCACCUCCUUACCUAAAGA
rnacentral:rRNA from 1 species